rnacentral:rRNA from 1 species
GGGUGAGUAACACGUGGAUAACCUACCUAUAAGACUGGGAUAACUUCGGGAAACCGGAGCUAAUACCGGAUAAUAUUUUGAACCGCAUGGUUCAAAAGUGAAAGACGGUCUUGCUGUCACUUAUAGAUGGAUCCGCGCUGCAUUAGAUAGUUGGUAAGGUAACGGCUUACCAAGGCAACGAUGCAUAGCCGACCUGAGAGGGUGAUCGGCCACACUGGAACUGAGACACGGUCCAG